rnacentral:lncRNA from 1 species
GGAUGGAGGGGGGAGGAGGAGCAAGGGAUGCUGGGUUCUGGUUAUAAAAAGGUCCUCCGUUUAUCUGGUUCUGAAGGCUCGUCUGUGACGUGAUUGAAGGAGGACGCCGAUAUGGCAAAGAUCCCCCUAUUGUUGGUGGUGUAUGUCGAGACGCAGGCCUGUUCAUGCUGUAGAACUGGACUGGGUGGCCUGGAUAGACACUGGGAGGAGAUGGUGUGGGAACAGCAAUAGGAACACCCACACUGCCACUUCCACUGUUCUCGCGACUACUGCUCCGACUACUUGGAUGGCUUCCUCCACUGCUCCCACUGCUGCUGUAUGUGCGAUUCCUCUGAUUGACAGAAGCUGUUCUAACAGGACUCUGCUGUGAGGGAGCCAUAUUGCGCGUUGGGCUAGGCACGUAGUCA